rnacentral:rRNA from 1 species
UUCGAGCGAAUGGAUUAAGAGCUUGCUCUUAUGAAGUUAGCGGCGGACGGGUGAGUAACACGUGGGUAACCUACCCAUAAGACUGGGAUAACUCCGGGAAACCGGGGCUAAUACCGGAUAAUAUUUUGAACUGCAUAGUUCGAAAUUGAAAGGCGGCUUCGGCUGUCACUUAUGGAUGGACCCGCGUCGCAUUAGCUAGUUGGUGAGGUAACGGCUCACCAAGGCGACGAUGCGUAGCCGACCUGAGAGGGUGAUCGGCCACACUGGGACUGAGACACGGCCCAGACUCCUACGGGAGGCAGCAGUAGGGAAUCUUCCGCAAUGGACGAAAGUCUGACGGAGCAACGCCGCGUGAGUGAUGAAGGCUUUCGGGUCGUAAAACUCUGUUGUUAGGGAAGAACAAGUGCUAGUUGAAUAAGCUGGCACCUUGACGGUACCUAACCAGAAAGCCACGGCUAACUACGUGCCAGCAGCCGCGGUAAUACGUAGGUGGCAAGCGUUAUCCGGAAUUAUUGGGCGUAAAGCGCGCGCAGGUGGUUUCUUAAGUCUGAUGUGAAAGCCCACGGCUCAACCGUGGAGGGUCAUUGGAAACUGGGAGACUUGAGUGCAGAAAAGGAAAGUGGAAUUCCAUGUGUAGCGGUGAAAUGCGUAAAGAUAUGGAGGAACMCCAGUGGCGAAGGCGACUUUCUGGUCUGUAACUGACACUGAGGCGCGAAAGCG